rnacentral:rRNA from 1 species
UGGGGAAUUUUGGACAAUGGGGGAAACCCUGAUCCAGCCAUCCCGCGUGUGCGAUGAAGGCCUUCGGGUUGUAAAGCACUUUUGGCAGGAAAGAAACGUCAUGGGUUAAUACCCCGUGAAACUGACGGUACCUGCAGAAUAAGCACCGGCUAACUACGUGCCAGCAGCCGCGGUAAUACGUAGGGUGCAAGCGUUAAUCGGAAUUACUGGGCGUAAAGCGCGCGCAGGCGGUUCGGAAAGAAAGAUGUGAAAUCCCAGAGCUCAACUUUGGAACUGCAUUUUUAACUACCGGGCUAGAGUGUGUCAGAGGGAGGUGAAAUUCCGCGUGUAGCAGUGAAAUGCGUAGAUAUGCGGAGGAACACCGAUGGCGAAGGCAGCCUCCUGGGAUAACACUGACGCUCAUGCACGAAAGCGUGGGGAGCAAACAGG